rnacentral:rRNA from 1 species
GACGAACGCUGCCGGCGUGCCUAAUACAUGCAAGUCGAACGCAGUGGGGACGGGUGAGUAACACGUGGGUAACCUCCCAUCAGAGGGGAUAACACUUGGAAACAGGUGCUAAAACGAUACUGAUGGAUGGACCCGCGGUGCAUUAGCUAGUUGGUGAGGUAACGGCUCACCAAGGCCACGAUGCAUAGCCUGCCUGGGAGGGGGAGCGUCCACACUGUGACUGAGCAACGGCCCAGACUCCUACGGGAGGCAGCAGGAGGGAAUCUUCGGCAAUGGACUAAAGUCUGACCGAGCAACGACGCGGGAGUGAAGAAGGUGUUCGGAGCGUAAAACUCUGUUGUUAGAGAAGCGGUAUCUAACCAGAAAGCCACUGAUAACUAUGUGCCAGCAGCCGCGGUAAUAC